rnacentral:rRNA from 1 species
CAACCUCAGAUCAGGCGAGACUACCCGCUGAAUUUAAGCAUAUUAAUAGGCGGAGGAAAAGGAACUAACGAGGAUUCCCCAAGUAGCUGCGAGCGAACAGGGAGGAGCUCAGCACGGAAUCCCGCACGGCGACGCGCAGGGGGAUGUCGUGUGUGGGAGGUUCCAUUGUGCCGGGGGUCGGCCGCGAGUCCAAGUCUCCCUUGAACGGGGCCACAGCCCGCAGAGGGUGCCAGGCCCGUAGAGACCGCGGCUGCUCCCGGGAGGAGCUCUCCUCAGAGUCGUGUUCCUUGAGAGUGGAGCACCAAGUGGGUGGUAAACUCCAUCUAAGGCUAAAUAUGACCACGAGACCGAUAGCGAACAAGUACCGUGAGGGAAAGUUGAAAAGAACUUUGAAGAGAGAGUUCAACAGUACGUGAAACCGUUCAGGGGUAAACGGGAGAGAUCCGAAAGGUCGAAAGGGGGAGACUCAAUCCCGUCCGCGCGUCCGGUGCCGUUCUCGGUCCCAAUGGAUGCUGCCGGCCGCCGGCCGCGUCGCAAGGCGCGAGCCGGGUCGGAGUCGGUGGCACCGGGGCCGGAGGUCCGGCCGCGGCGAGGUGCACUUCUCCCCCCGAGUAGGACGUCGCGACCCGUUGGGCAGCACGUCCGGCCUAAGGCCCGGGAUGAGACCGAGGGGAUCGCCGCGCGAAUGCGCGGGUCAACGGUCCCCCGGACCCCGGAUGUCCUGGCCGGCGCCCGACGGCAUGUCUCGCGGAGAAGGCCCGCUCCCUCGCAGAGCGAGCGUCCGGCCCGGUGGGCAAGCUCGACGCCUGUGGGCAAGAGGUGCCGUGGCUUCCGCCACGUCCCCGGCCCCCGUCGGCUGCUGGCUCCCGGAGUCCUCGGACGGUAGCCGUCUCCCGUCUGCGGCGCUUAUGCUUCGGACGCUUUCCCGACCCGUCUUGAAACACGGACCAAGGAGUCUAACAUG